rnacentral:misc_RNA from 1 species
AGAGUAGAUCGAAAAAACUGAAAUGCUACGAAAGCUGUAACACUCAACGUUUGGUAUAGAAGGUGUAUCUUGAAGAACCCAAGCUAUUAAAGAAUCGUAAAUAACAAUUACUCUUCUGUAAUUUCUGGAGAGUUCUUGUAAAAGGGAAGUAAUCGGGUGACGAAGAUGAAUCGUGGCGUGGAAAGACGGCAUCAAUUGGGAAGGGAAUUUGGUGGUGGAAUUUGGAUUAGGAAGAGGGGUUUCGUAAUUUGGGAUUGGGAGUUCGUGGAAUUUGACGGUGGAGGUGGAGACUGGGUUCCAGCCAUGGAUACGAUUUUUUGCUUGACGGAGGUGUACGGCUGCUCCGGCGAAGUGGAGUGGGAGGUUAUAGGCGGAGAUGAGGCGGGAGAGGUGGAGGAGUUGGUUUAAAUGGCCUUGUGCUGGUAGUGGAAUCAUUACUAUGGCAACUUCAUGAUUGGUGAGUUUCGCCAUGGAAGAACAAAGCUUUU